rnacentral:rRNA from 1 species
CAGUCGCCGCGGUAAAACGGAGGGUGCAAGCGUUAUCCGGAUUUAUUGGGUUUAAAGGGUCCGUAGGCGGAUCUGUAAGUCAGUGGUGAAAUCUCACAGCUUAACUGUGAAACUGCCAUUGAUACUGCAGGUCUUGAGUAAAUUUGAAGUGGCUGGAAUAAGUAGUGUAGCGGUGAAAUGCAUAGAUAUUACUUAGAACACCAAUUGCGAAGGCAGGUCACUAAGAUUUAACUGACGCUGAUGGACGAAAGCGUGGGGAGCAAACAGGAUUAGAUACCCCUGUAGUCCCUGUCUCUUAUAC